AAGGAUCAUUACCGAGUUUGGGUCCCCUGGGCCCCUCUCCAACCCUUGCCAAUAUUACCACGUUGCUUUGGUGGGCCCGUCUUCGACCGGACCACCGGGGGGGUUGUCUCCCCGGUCAGUGCCCGCCAACAGCCCCCAACACAUCCCGUCCAACCGUGACAUCUGAGCCCCAAACAAAUGAUAACCAAAACUUUCAACAACGGAUCUCUUGGUUCUGGCAUCGAUGAAGAACGCAGCGAAAUGCGAUAAGUAAUGCGAAUUGCAGAAUUCCGUGAGUCAUCGAAUCUUUGAACGCACAUUGCGCCCUUUGGUAUUCCAAAGGGCAUGCCUGUCCGAGCGUCAUUGUCCACCCUCAAGCCCGGCUUGCCAUUGGGUUGCGUUGGGGCGUCGACCUCAACGGACCUUAAAAAGGAUUGGCAGAGCCUACAAGGGUCCCGGACGCAGCGAGCUCUCCAGCACGCGUCGCGGGGAUCCCUUCGGGCUUGGCCUUAACCGACGAUUUUUCUCGUUGACCUCGGAUCAGGCAGGGAUACCCGCUGAACUUAA
rnacentral:rRNA from 1 species